UCCCUUCUUCACCUAUUUAUAUGGGGCAUCCCAUGUGGAUCAGGUGCUGAAUUUUAGGUGAAAAUCAGAGUCAAGUGGCAUGUAAAAGAGAAGAAAAAUUUUAAAAAAAAUACUGAGAAAAAGAGAAAGAAAAAUUGAGAGGAAAAAUUGUAAGAAGGGUGAUGAGAGAAUUACUAAGUAUUGCUAGUUUGCCCUAGGAUUUGAUUUUUUCAUGUAUUGGAACCCAAAAUCAAAUCCUAGGUUGUGAGACUUCUAAAGAGUGUCUUCUUGGCAUGAUUCUAAUGAUAAAAUCGAAGGCAACUGGACUUUGGUGUGGUCAUACUUCGAGUUCGAAAUCAGUAGUAUUCUUGUAAAAAAAAGACUGCAGCGGCACACC
rnacentral:lncRNA from 1 species